UUGCUAUGAUGAUCCAGCUUAUUGAUAGCAUUUAUAGAAUGCUGGAUGAUGCUUCGGCAGUCAUGUCGAAUCUGAGCGGUUACCUGAGCAA
rfam:Cajanus cajan chromosome 6, whole genome shotgun sequence.